rnacentral:rRNA from 1 species
GAGUUUGAUUCUGGCUCAGGAUGAACGCUGGCGGCGUGCUUAACACAUGCAAGUCGAACGAUCCAGCACUCAACUACCAACUACAUUUUCAAGAAGAAACGAAAGUGUGGUUAGUAGUUGAGUGCUGGAGAGUGGCGGACGGGUGCGUAACGUGUGGGUAAUCUGCCUUUGUCAUGGGAAUAACUGCUUGAAAGAGCAGCUAAUACCGAAUAACAUAUGCAAUAGGCAUCUAUUGGAUAUCAAAGAGAAAUCGGACAAAGAUGAGCCCGCAUCUGAUUAGCUAGUUGGUAGGGUAAAAGCCUACCAAGGCAACGAUCAGUAGCCGGCCUGAGAGGGUGAACGGCCACAUUGGAACUGAGACACGGUCCAAACUCCUACGGGAGGCAGCAGUGGGGAAUAUUGCACAAUGGGGGGAACCCUGAUGCAGCAACGCCGCGUGAGUGAAGAAGGCUUUCGAGUCGUAAAACUCUGUUGUAAGGGAAGAUAANGACGGACCUAAAAGAAGCCCCGG